UUUGAUCYUGGSUCAGGAUGAACSCUAGCSGCAGGSUUAAUACMUGSMAGUCSAGGGGUAACAUGGGUAGCAAUACCUGAUGACSACCGGCAAACGGGUGCGGAACACGUACGCAACCUUCCCAAAACUGGUGAAUAGCCUUUCSAAAGAGAGAUUAAUACACCGUAACUUAAUGRAGUGGCAUCAYUUUAUUAAUAUAGCUCCGGCGGUUUUGGAUGGGCGUGCGCCUGAUUAGGUAGUUGGCGGGGUAACGGCCCACCAAGCCUACGAUCAGUAACUGGUGUGAGAGCACGACCAGUCACACGGGCACUGAGACACGGGCCCGACUCCUACGGGAGGCAGCAGUAAGGAAUAUUGGUCAAUGGACGAAAGUYUGAACCAGCCAUGCCGCGUGAAGGRUURRGGSKCUCUGGGUUGUAAACUUCUUUUAUAGGGGACGAAAAAAGGGCAUUCUUGCUCACUUGACGGUACCCUAGGAAUAAGCACCGGCUAACUCCGUGCCAGCAGCCGCGGUAAUACGGAGGGUGCAAGCGUUAUCCGGAUUUACUGGGUUUAAAGGGAGCGUAGGUGGGUUGGUAAGUCAGUGGUGAAAUCUUCGAGCUUAACUCGGAAACUGCCAUUGAUACUAUCAAUCUUGAAUUAUCUGGAGGUAAGCGGAAUAUGUCAUGUAGCGGUGAAAUGCUUAGAUAUGACAUAGAACACCCAUUGCGAAGGCAGCUUACUACGGAUAUAUUGACACUGAGGCUCGAAAGCGUGGGGAUCAAACAGGAUUAGAUACCCUGGUAGUCCACGCCCUAACGAUGGAUACUCGACAUCAGCGAUACWCUGUUGGUGUCUGAGCGAAAGCAUAAGUAUCCYACCUGGGAAGUACGACYGCWAGGUUGAAACUUCAAGGAAUUGACGGGGGUCUSCACAAGCUGGUGGAGCWUGUGGUUUAUUCGAUGAUAC
rnacentral:rRNA from 1 species